rnacentral:rRNA from 1 species
GGGUCAUUAGGUUGGUCGUGCCACCGGUACGUACUGGUCACACUGAUUCCUCCUUCCUGAAGAACCGUAAUGCCAUUAAUUUGGUGUUGCGGGGAAACAGGACUGUCACUUUGAAAAAAUUAGAGUGUUUAAAGCAAGCUAACGCUUGAAUACAUUAGCAUGGAAUAAUGAAAUAGGACGAUCGAUCCUAUUUUGUUGGUUUCUAGGAUUGACGUA